rnacentral:rRNA from 1 species
UACGAAGGGGGCUAGCGUUGUUCGGAAUUACUGGGCGUAAAGCGCACGUAGGCGGAUCGAUCAGUCAGGGGUGAAAUCCCAGAGCUCAACUCUGGAACUGCCUUUGAUACUGUCGGUCUAGAGUAUGGAAGAGGUGAGUGGAAUUCCGAGUGUAGAGGUGAAAUUCGUAGAUAUUCGGAGGAACACCAGUGGCGAAGGCGGCUCACUGGUCCAUUACUGACGCUGAGGCGCGAAAGCAUGGGGAGCGAACGGG